rnacentral:rRNA from 1 species
AACGGCCGCGGUACCCUAACCGUGCAAAGGUAGCACAAUCACUUGUUCUUUAAAUUAGGACUAGUAUGAACGGCCCCACGAGGGCUACCCUGUCUCCCCCCUCCAAUCAGUGAAACUGAUCUCCUCGUGAAGAAGCGAGGAUAUCCCCAUAAGACGAGAAGACCCCAUGGAACUUUAAACUAGUACCACCCCUUUCUACGAGACCUCAUGACUACUAGUCUUUCGGCUGGGGCGACCACGGAGAAAAAUAAAACCCCCGAGAUGAAAGG